CUAGGCUCACAGAGACAGAAACUGAAGAGAAGACAGAUGUGAAAAAAGAAAAAAAAAAAUAAGUGAAAGAAGAACAAUGAAAAUGCAAUAGGAAUAGAGAUUGAAAUUCUGGCUCGAAAAAGUCCAAAGAAAAAAUAAUGCAGAGAUUGCACUUGCUGCCUUCCAGGGUCUUUUUUAUUUGCUAAUGUGCAUGGUCUUCUGUGGGCUAGUUGGGUGAAAGUGGCCAUUUGCAAAGGAGCACAGUCUCUUAAACUGUGGCACAAAAUGCUUCAUUAUCUUCCUGGGAAACAUUUGAUUAUGUGGCAAUUUAAUUUAGAUAUGCAUGAUGACCAAUAGGCCCUAAAAUGAAGAUAGGAGAUUACUGACAAGCACUCUAGAAUUUAGAUGCUUAUGUGAAAUUUUAGACAGAACAAUAAAGAAGUGAUGGGAAGCAACCAAUCAAUUAUUAGGAAUGAGGAAACCCAUCUCAUCUUAAAGGAAAGAUGCUAAGAAUCGGAGGAACUCUGUUGACAAAUGAUGCAAUAAAGGAUUAAGGUUUGGAAUCACUGAGAAAGGGCUGGUUUGCUCUUCAGAGGCUUUGUGAGUGUGGGAGAACUUAGGUGCCAUCCGAUUGGGAAUGGAUGGAAAAAUCUGUGUACCAUGAUUCUUACCAAUAAACUCCUGUUUCAAUUGCUCCUACAUGCCCAUAUUUCCUUGGGUGGAAGGGUUAGUGUCUGAUGGGAAAUUUAGUCAGGGAUGGCAGUGAUCUCCAUGUUCACAACAAAAACUGUCUUUUCCUAUUGAAGUCCUUAAUCGGAGAGUAGAGAUUAGGAAACUUGCCUUUUAAAAAUAGCAGUCACAGCCACACUAUCUGUAUAGUGUAUUCUAAUUUCAAAGGUACAUUAUCACACAGUAUUUUACUGGCAGACAAGAAGACUUUAUGGGUGUCUGUUUCAAUCUAAUUGUGCAGUGAAUUGAAUAAAUACUUUAAAGCCCACUAUUUAAAUUA
rnacentral:lncRNA from 1 species